rnacentral:rRNA from 1 species
UCAGGAUGAACGCUGGCGGCGUGCCUAACACAUUCAAGUCGAACGGACGCGUCCCUUCGGGGGACAAGUUAGUGGCGGACGGGUGAGUAAUGCAUGAGCAACCUGCCUCGAAGAGGGGAAUAACACAGAGAAAUUUGUGCUAAUACCGCAUAAUGUGUAGGGGAGGCAUCUCUCUUACUAAGAAAGGAGCAAUCCGCUUUGAGAUGGGCUCAUGUCUGAUUAGACAGUUGGCGGGUAACGGCCCACCAAAUCUACGAUCAGUAGCCGGACUGAGAGGUUGAACGGCCACAUUGGGACUGAGACACGGCCCAGACUCCUACGGGAGGCAGCAGUGGGGAAUAUUGGACAAUGGGCGAAAGCCUGAUCCCAGCGACGCCGCGUGAAGGAAGAAGGUCUUCGGAUUGUAAACUUUAGUGAGCAGGGACGAUAAUGACGGUACCUGCAUAGCAAGCCACGGCUAACUACGUGCCAGCCGCCGC